rnacentral:rRNA from 1 species
GAUGAACGCUAGCGGCAGGCUUAAUACAUGCAAGUCGAGGGGCAGCAGGACUGUAGCACUACAGUUGCUGGCGACCGGCAAACGGGUGCGGAACACGUACGCAACCUACCCAAAACUGGGGGAUAGCCCGGGGAAACCCGGAUUAAUACCUCGUAACCUUUUUAAGUGGCAUCACUUGAUAAGUAUAGCUCCGGCGGUUUUGGAUGGGCGUGCGCCUGAUUAGGUAGUUGGUGCGGGUAACGGCCCACCAAGCCUGCGAUCAGUAACUGGUGUGAGAGCACGACCAGUCACACGGGCACUGAGACACGGGCCCGACUCCUACGGGAGGCAGCAGUAAGGAAUAUUGGCCAAUGGACGCAAGUCUGAACCAGCCAUGCCGCGUGAAGGAUGAAGGUCCUCUGGAUUGUAAACUUCUUUUAUGGGGGACGAAACCCGGAUAUUCUUAUCCGAUUGACGGUACCUCAGGAAUAAGCACCGGCUAACUCCGUG